AUGGCUGGGUCUGGAGCCAGGUGUCCUCUUGACCUUUCUCUCCAGCCUAAAGUAAGGAGUAGGGCCUCACAGAGAAGUUCUGAGACAGCACAGUUCAGAGGUCAUCAAGAUGUCCUGACAAAAGAAAGUCCCAGGGCCUACGAAGCCGAGUCAGAGCCCAGGCCUGAAGACAGAUCCAAGCCAGCUUUCCUGACUAAUCCACCUUCCUGGUCCACAACCAUCGUGUCUCUUUCGAACUACAACCAUAAAUCUAAGAGGUUUUAAUUAGUAAACUAGAAUAUCAUCUUUCCAUCUAGUUAGAAUGUAUUCUUCAUUCCCUUCAGGAGAUUAUACAUGUUCAUUUUUAUUUUUACUCAGUUACUAUUUCUGUGUCUAAGUUCUUCAGCUAAUGGAAAGAGGCAGCCUGUUAAUAUCUUCUCAUUCGUACUAAUAUAUUGUUUUCAUAUUGUCACGGCUAUUACUGCUAUAGAUAAUUUUAUAGAUAAUUUUCUUGGGUAUUUUUGGUGCGAAGGUAGAUAUGCUUUUUUGUGUUUAAGAAAUAACUCCUGAUAUUUAAGAGAUAUCAGGAAGGCAAAAACAUUUAAGGCAAAGACGCUAUAAAUAGAAAACUAGCUCAGUGAAUUGUAAACUAGCAUUUGGAAUGGAAAAAAAAAAAUGAGCGUGUCCUUAAGUGGAAGAGAAUGUUUGCACAGGAGGCUGACUGUUGUUUUAAAUUAACCUUGAUGCUAGGUUUUAACCCUUUGCUCCAGAGGACAUUAAAUAGGUUAAUUUCUAACCAAUUGGAACCAAAGGGUUACAGGGGCAAAAUUAUGAAAAUUCUUUUGUCAUGCUUGAGUUUAGAAAUUCUGUGAUCUGAGUGCUAAGCAAAAUGUCAAGACAAAUUACUUUUGCCCUGGCUUUUUAUAAAAGUAAGUUGUAAGAUGUAUACCAAUAUAUUUAAGGGAAACAGCUGCACAAGCAAAGAGAACUAUUAAAAUAUCUCCUUGACGUAAAAAUCCAAAUGAAUAUACAUAUACUUUCAUAAUAACCAAUAGAGAAUUUAGAACAGCUAAAAAUGUAAGUGCUUGCAUGGUGUGCUUCUUAUAGCCCCAGUCUCUCUCUAAAGUAAUAUUAUGACUUUGUAGCUUUAUGCUAUCUUCUUAAAAUGCCAUUUAUAUGCAUGCAGGCAUAGCCCACUGCUACUUAUUGGUGUUCCAGUUUGCCUUUAGGCUAGUCUCGCUGGGAAUGAACUCCAGGCUCUUAUCUCAGAUAAGAUGUAGAGCCCAAAGGCAGGAUCAUAACAUUCUAAUUGCAUGCCCUUUGGACAAAAAUCUGUGACCAAAGUCACUGUAGCUCUAGAAAUAAAAAGUGGAAUCAACCCGAUCA
rnacentral:lncRNA from 1 species